rnacentral:rRNA from 1 species
CUCUGUGGAUCAGUGGCGAACGGGUGAGUAACACGUGAGCAACCUGCCCCUGACUCUGGGAUAAGCGCUGGAAACGGCGUCUAAUACCGGAUAUGAGCUGCGAUCGCAUGGUCAGCAGUUGGAAAGAUUUUUCGGUCUGGGAUGGGCUCACGGCCUAUCAGCUUGUUGGUGAGGUAAUGGCUCACCAAGGCGUCGACGGGUAGCCGGCCUGAGAGGGUGACCGGCCACACUGGGACUGAGACACGGCCCAGACUCCUACGGGAGGCAGCAGUGGGGAAUAUUGCACAAUGGGCGAAAGCCUGAUGCAGCAACGCCGCGUGAGGGAUGACGGCCUUCGGGUUGUAAACCUCUUUUAGCAGGGAAGAAGCGAAAGUGACGGUACCUGCAGAAAAAGCGCCGGCUAACUACGUGCCAGCAGCCGCGGUAAUACGUAGGGCGCAAGCGUUAUCCGGAAUUAUUGGGCGUAAAGAGCUCGUAGGCGGUUUGUCGCGUCUGCUGUGAAAUCCCGAGGCUCAACCUCGGGUCUGCAGUGGGUACGGGCAGACUAGAGUGCGGUAGGGGAGAUUGGAAUUCCUGGUGUAGCGGUGGAAUGCGCAGAUAUCAGGAGGAACACCGAUGGCGAAGGCAGAUCUCUGGGCCGUUACUGACGCUGAGGAGCGAAAGGGUGGGGAGCAAACAGGCUUAGAUACCCUGGUAGUCCACCCCGUAAACGUUGGGAACUAGUUGUGGGGUCCAUUCCACGGAUUCCGUGACGCAGCUAACGCAUUAAGUUCCCCGCCUGGGGAGUACGGCCGCAAGGC